CAACUAAUCCCUCUGUCCCAAAUUUCUUGUCUUAGAUUUGUCUAGAUACGGAUGUAUCUAAUACUAAAAUGUGACUUGAUACAUCCGUAUCUAGACAAAUCUAAGACAAGAAUUUUGG
rnacentral:pre_miRNA from 1 species